CAAUAGCGUAUAUUAAAGUUGUUGCAGUUAAAAAGCUCGUAGUUGGAUUUCUGGUAGGAGUGACCGUUCCGAACUUGAUUGUUCGUGUAUUGUGUUUUCUCCAGCCAUCCUUGUGGAGAACUUUUCUUGCAUUAAUUUGUGGGGAUUGGGACCCGCAUCGUUUACUGUGAAAAAAUUAGAGUGUUUAAAGCAGGCAAUCGCUUGAAUACAUUAGCAUGGAAUAAUAAGAUAGGACUUUGGUACUAUUUUGUUGGUUUGCAUACCAAAUUAAUGAUCAACAGGAACAGUUUGAGGAUAUUCGUAUGAACAUGUCAGAGGUGAAAUUCUUGGAUUUUGAUCAGACGAACUACUGCGAAAGCAUUUAUCAAGGAUGUUUCCAUUAA
rnacentral:rRNA from 1 species